UUGAUAGUGAAAAUUACAUAGUUGAGUGGGCGAAUAGUACCUUGAAACAAAGGAAAUGAGCAAAAAGUAACGGCAGCUAACAGUACCAAGCUAACUUUAGCAGCAGCUUUAACAACUACUUAUAUCGGUAGCUCAAAACUGAGAAGGUCCAAUGAACGCGAGACAGAUAAGCUAAUGACCAGAAGUGAAGGAUGCCCUAGAUCGAUAUUUUUCAUCAAGCUCCUUUCGCAGAGACUUUCUUAACUUGAUGGUCCAAAAGCAACCUUCAUAUAAUCUGCCUAUGGACUACUAUUUUGAGCUUAAAUAGGAUUGAGCUCAAGCAUGUAUGUCUCUGUAAAGGAUUCGAACUCAAUGGAAGAAAGUUGAACCCUAUUAGCUGAUUGAUACUGCUCAUGGAUACUAUUUUCGCUCUUUUUUAAUUGGAUUUUUGUCUUUGACCUUUCAUUAGAUUUGCUAUUGAUUUUCGUUUUCUUGCUAGAGAUGAGGAAAUGAAGCUAAAAACUGCAGUUGGCUCUAGAAUGAGGAGGGUUCUGAACUUUUUUGUUGUCA
rnacentral:lncRNA from 1 species